rnacentral:rRNA from 1 species
UACAGAGGUGGCAAGCGUUGUUCGGAAUUACUGGGCGUAAAGCGCGCGCAGGCGGUUCUUUAAGUCAGGGGUGAAAGCCCAGAGCUCAACUCUGGAAUUGCCUUUGAAACUAGAGAACUUGGGUACGGGAGAGGUGAGUGGAAUUCCGAGUGUAGAGGUGAAAUUCGUAGAUAUUCGGAAGAACACCAGUGGCGAAGGCGGCUCACUGGCCCGUUACCGACGCUCAGGCGCGACAGCGUGGGGAGCAAACAGG